AAACCCAGAGGAGAAAGAAGACAUAUUAAAUUCGUUACAAGAAAGUUUGUUGGAUCAUUUUACUUUCACCAGUAUUCCUUUCUCAUAUUGCAAAUUAGAUAAAAUAUAAAAUUCUAAUAAAGGUCAAAUAUUGAAAUCCUUCUUCCUUUAGCAGGGCACAACAACUUCACCAGUCAAAGCCUCUAAAGGGAGCAACACCACAAUCCCAGAGGCCCAUCACACCGAGUACAAGUUCCAUAACAUUUUAGAUCAAGAGCUUUUCAAUAGCAUC
rnacentral:lncRNA from 1 species